rnacentral:tRNA from 1 species
CUGGGUGUGUAGCUCAGUGAGACAGCGCUUGCCUAAUGUGUGCCAGGACCUGGGUUCAAUCCCCAGCACUGAAG